UUUUAGCAAUUAAGAGUUUAUUUUACUUACGACUUUCCUGUUUGCUUUCAUUAAUUUUCCGUAAUCCCGCAGUGCCUGAAUGAGACCAUUAAUUAAAUUGGACGCAGCCUGUAGGACCGGGUCAAAUACCUUUUUUAACUGACUUUGCACAACAGGAGCGGUCUAAUAAGACAGCGAUGUGGACAGAAGCGCAUAAUGACCUGACUUCACAUCGUGAGAUGAAUGGAUUCAGUGUGCGCAGGUCGCCGCCGGUGUGAACGUCUGGGUUCACGGUGAGUCACCCGGGCCUUUCCAGAGAAUCAGAGAAGCGAGCAACCCGGCGGAGAGUUUACGAUAAUAAAUAUCCCCGACGCCGAAUGAGAAGGAGACGAGAGGUGCCGUCCACACCGGAUGUACACAGCACGCAGAUGUUUAAAUAAUGCAACAUUCCCAUCAGUGGCGGACAUCAGAGAGCCGGUGGAGCAGAGGAGUGCGGGCGUGUUAUCGCGUUAAGGGUAUCUAUCCUUUACAAAGGGUGAGAUGAAAUGUUUCCCCAGAUUAAAACCCUGUUCAGCCCUGCCAGAGAGGGAAGGAAGGAGUGAAGUGAAAAAGAGUGACAAAACAGAAAGCGAAGAAGGCGCCAAGCGUACAACAGUACAACUGUACAGCGGAGGUCACGCACUUUCACAGGGACACAAGGCCACACAAGGCCAGAUAUUGCAACAUCCAUCAGCGCACGUAACCACGGUGACCAGACAGCAACCCCUACCACCCCCCCCCCACCAAAACGAAAGCGGGCAUUAGGAUCGGAACACAGGAGCAGUGCGUGUAAAGUCGGACGCUGAUUACAGAAGAGAAACUCUUAAAGCAAUGACCGCGCACCCAGCACGACUCUGCCGCCCCGGUGACGGGCUGGGGGAAGCUCGGCCGCACGCUGCCCCGCGCGGGAUCCGAGCCAAGCGCGGUUUCCCCCCCAAAUGAAAAGGUGCGAUAAUGGCAGUGGGCGUUUGAUCCUUUAAAAGCGGUUAGCAGGCGAAGCCGCCACCGCGGAAACGGCGGGCGAUGAAGACGAGGCACACCUCACACCUGCGCAGGGCUUUCAACUUCAGCAUCACUCAGAUUAAUAUUCUCCCACUCCCCACUCUUCAGGCAGUCUGGGGGGGGGAGUUCUGGGCUCAUGAAGAGAAGGUACUGGAAGCGGUUAAUUCUCAGGUCUUCUGCCCGGCAACGUCGCCAUGGUAUUCACUGGGCUCCGGUGUCCUUUAGAAAUGGCCACACAUCAAGAAACGGGAAGGGAAACUCGUCUUUUUUUACAACGAGAUGGCCGAUUUAUUUCCCUUCCUCUGCCACUUCAGCCCAAUUGAGGGUUGUUCCCAGGUUGUUGCUCAGUCAUAGGAAGACGUAUGCUUUACGAAUGAAAAAGUCAGUCAAAUAUUUUAAAAAUUGAAGAUGAUAAAAAGCAGGAAAAGUUAUAUCGUCUAUCCAAGUUCGAAAGUUACAUUUCCAGAGAAGUGCACUUGGACUACCCAUACAAUGUUAUUAAAUUAGUAUGACAUAUUCAGAAAGUACUUUUUCCGCCCACAUACAAGUCUACACAACUGAAAGUUCAAACAUUAGAGCAUGCAACUGUCAGCUGA